rnacentral:lncRNA from 1 species
AUAUGUAUUCAAUUCCUACCACCGUAGUGGAAGAGAGGCUAUCCCUAUCUUUACAACUGAUAGCAUUUCCAACAGUAAGCUGUGAGAUUCUGCUUGAAAUCACCUCUCAAACAAAUAAAAAACAGACCUGGGAGACACGCUACACUCAUUCUGCUGAAGAAAUAGGGCAAGAAUAUUUUCUAAGACCCCGAACUCCAGAUAUGUGAUGGGGCAAAUCCUGAAGUGUACAUGGCUAUCUCUCACAGCUAAAGCAUCCCUCACCCCUAUCCAGCGCUUCUUACCCCUGGCACAAGAGAAUCACCUGCGGGGAGGAAAACUUUCAAAAUCCCUUAAACCCAAGUUGUAACCGCACAACUCAAUCAGAAUCCUUGGAGCUGGAUCUGAAAAAAAUACGGUUGAAAGUUGUGCAGGUGAUUACAAUGUGUAGGCAAGCCAGAAAACCAUGGCUUUAAUGAGCAGCUUUUGUUAGAAAUGAUUUCUCAAAUGAAUGUAAAAACAUAUGCUGCUGAAUUGUGACCUUUCAAUUUUACCUGCUUUUCCUGCAA